rnacentral:rRNA from 1 species
UACAGAGGGUGCAAGCGUUGUUCGGAAUUACUGGGCGUAAAGGGCGCGUAGGCGGCACUGUUAGUCAGGCGUGAAAGUCCUGGGCUCAACCUGGGAACUGCGCUUGAUACGGCAGAGCUAGAGGAUGGAAGAGGGUCGCGGAAUUCCCAGUGUAGAGGUGAAAUUCGUAGAUAUUGGGAAGAACACCGGUGGCGAAGGCGGCGACCUGGUCCAUUACUGACGCUGAGGCGCGACAGCGUGGGGAGCAAACAGG